GUGUCUUUUUCCUGCCACUGAGUAAGGGAUGAUCUUCACACACAUGCCCCACUCCGCCCCCACCUCGGCGCACCGUUUCUCCAGGAAGGCAUCUUCUCAGAGACAAAAGAUUCUGAGAGACAUCUAAUCCCCUACCAAAAGUGUCUCGGUGUUUGUGCAAUCAAAGGAAAUCAGAAAAGAAACGAUUCUCACCGCUCUGUGGUCCAAUCCUCUCAUUUUACAAAUAAGGACCCCAAGAUUGGACAGAGGAGGACAUUUGUCCAUGGUCCAUCAGCAAGCCGAGGACCCAGCUCCCCAGCCUCCUGACUUUCAGUCCGACACUCUGCCCCCACCCGGCACUGCUUCUGCUUGUGCAUCCCUUCUGUGACUAACCAGGGAGGAGGGGAGCUGAAACAAGCUCCCACCGGAAUAGGCUGCUGCCUGUGCGUGAUUAUGUUGCUAUGAGAACCUCAGUGGGUGUGUUUCCUCCUUUCGCUGUUGAAAUCUUUUGCUUUGCUUGGCUUCUCCCCAAGCACAGACACCUCUCCCUUUGGAAUGGGGAGUGGAGAGGCUGAGAUGAAGAGCUAUAUUCUCAUGGCAAGAGUUUUCUAUCCCAACCCAUCCAACCCAGAGCCAGCCUGGGGCUGGGAGUGAGGAGCCUAUGCCACUAGGGUGGUUCCAUAAAGGCUGGAGUCCAGGAAGGAAUUGUUUUGAAAGUGGAUACUCUAGCCCCCUGGCGAGCUGUCUUAGAACAAAGAGGUGCUGUUCCUGCUAUGUAAUCACCUAAGAACAAAGUCACAAGCAAGCUAAUUAUCACUUUAAGAGAC